rnacentral:rRNA from 1 species
AGGUAGCAUAAUCAUUAGUCUCCUAAUUAGAGGCUGGAAUGAACGGCGAAACGAGAUAAAAGCUGUCUCUAACAUAUUAAUCGAAAUUCAUUUUUAAGUGAAAAAGCUUAAAUAAGUCUAAAGGACGAUCAGACCCUAUAGAGCUUAAAUAUUCAAUUAGACAAGCAUAAUAAGUAAUAUCUUAACUAGUUGAACAUUUUUGUUGGGGCGACAAAGAGACAAAAUUAACACUCUUUUUUUAAAAAUAUAUAUAGAUAAAGCAUUGAUCCUUAAAUAAAGAUACAAGUCUAAGUUACCUUAGGGAUAACAGCGUAAUCUUUUUGGAGAGUUCAAAUCGAUAAAAAGGAUUGCGACCUCGAUGUUGGAUUAGAAAAUCAGUAAGGUGCAGCAGUCUUACUAGAGAGUCUGUUCGACUCUUAAUAUUCUACGUGAUCUGG